UUCCGUAGGUGAACCUGCGGAAGGAUCAUUACAGAGUUCAUGCCCGAAAGGGUAGACCUCCCACCCUUGUGUAUUAUUACUUUGUUGCUUUGGCGAGCUGCUCUUCGGGGCCUUGUAUGCUCGCCAGAGAAUAUCAAAACUCUUUUUAUUAAUGUCGUCUGAGUACUAUAUAAUAGUUAAAACUUUCAACAACGGAUCUCUUGGUUCUGGCAUCGAUGAAGAACGCAGCGAAAUGCGAUAAGUAAUGUGAAUUGCAGAAUUCAGUGAAUCAUCGAAUCUUUGAACGCACAUUGCGCCCCUUGGUAUUCCGGGGGGCAUGCCUGUUCGAGCGUCAUUUCAACCCUCAAGCUCAGCUUGGUAUUGAGUCCAUGUCAGCAAUGGCAGGCUCUAAAAUCAGUGGCGGCGCCGCUGGGUCCUGAACGUAGUAAUAUCUCUCGUUACAGGUUCUCGGUGUGCUUCUGCCAAAACCCAAAUUUUCUAUGGUUGACCUCGGAUCAGGUAGGGAUACCCGCUGAACUUAAGCAUAUCAAUAAGCGGAGGAA
rnacentral:rRNA from 1 species